UGCUUCAUACGAAGGUAUGAAGGAAGAGCAUUGUUGUCAAGCUUUCCGUCAGAAGAUCCACCAGGAUAUCCUGA
rnacentral:sRNA from 12 species